rnacentral:tRNA from 1 species
GCCCCGGUAGCCCAAUUGGCAGCAGGCAUGAAACUUAAAAUUUCAACAGUAUCAGUUCGAAUCUGAUCCGGGGUA